GUAUUCGCUCUAAGAAUUUUUUAUCUCGUGUAGUAGUAGUUAAGGUAAACUAGAACUAGCUUUAUUCUAUACACGUAGUCGAAACUGAAAGGUUGAUCGAUCACAAUGUGGCCUGAACAAAGCCCAUGACAAAUGUAGCAGCAGUGAGGAAUAUUGGUCAAUAGCCUAACGGCUGAACCAGCAACUUGGAGGAAUGUAAAGCAAUUGCUGAUUGCAUUUAAUUAUUUUAAUUUGCUUAUUUUAAUUUAAUAUAAUGUAAUUACUACUAAGUAGUUUAAAUUUCUAGGUAGAAUUAUGAUGAUGACAUUAUCUAUCUAUAUGUCUUGACCAAAUUACGUGCCAGCAGUCGCGGUAAUACGUAGAAGACUAGUGUUAUUCAUCUUUAUUAGGUUUAAAGAGUACCAAGACGGUUAAUAAAGCCCAAAAUACAUGAGCACGGGGGACACAUUGACUAGAGUUAUAUGAAAGGAAGCUCUAAGGUACUGUUGAGUGGAGAGUUGAAAUUCUUUCAUACCAGAUGAGUGGCACAGAUUUAUGCGAAGGCAUCUUCUUAUGUAAUAACUGACGUUGUAGGACGAAGGCUUUCGAAGUGAACGGGAUUAGUUACCCCAGUAAUCUAAGCAGAAAAUGAUGAAUGUCAUAGGUUAAAUAGCAGUGUUUGAGAGUAGCAAUACAAACUGCAACACAUUUGGUCUAUAAAUGAAAGUGUAAGCAUUCCACCUCAAGAGUAAUUUGGCAACAUUGAAACUGAAAUCAUUAGACCGUUUCUGAAACCAGUAGUGAAGUAUGUUGUUUAAUUAGAUGAUACACAAAAAACCUUACCACCAUUGAUUUAUAUUUGAAAAAAUACCAUUUCAAUUAGUAUAUGAAUAAUAUCUUUAAAGAUAUAUACAAGCGCUGCACGGCUGUCUUCAGUUAAUGUCGUGAGACUGUGGUUAGUUCCAUAAAAUUAACGUAAACCCUCACUUUAUUUAUAUAUAGAGUUUUGAUCGAAAUAUAG
rnacentral:rRNA from 1 species